rnacentral:rRNA from 1 species
CCUACGGGAGGCAGCAGUGGGGAAUAUUGGGCAAUGGGCGCAAGUCUUACCCAGCAAUGCCGCGUGAAUGAAGAAGGUCUUCGGAUUGUAAAGUUCUUUAAUUGGGGACGAAAAAAAUGACGGUACCCAAGUAAUAAGCCCCGGCUAACUACGUGCCAGCAGCCGCGGUAAUACGUAGGGGGCAAGCGUUGUUCGGAAUGACUGGGCGUAAAGGGUGUGUAGGCGGGGUAGAAAGUUAGAAGGGAAAUACCUAGAGCUUAACUCAGGUGCUGCUUCUAAAACUGCUAUACUUGAGUGCAGGAGAGGAAAGCGGAAUUCGUAGUGUAGCGGUGGAAUGCGUAGAUAUUAGGAAGAACAUCAGUGGCGAAGGCGGCUUUCUGGACUGUAACUGACGCUGAGGCACGAAAGUGUGGGGAGCGAACAGGAUUAGAUACCCGAGUAGUC